rnacentral:rRNA from 1 species
AUUGAACGCUGGCGGCAGGCCUAACACAUGCAAGUCGAACGGUAGCACAGAGGAGCUUGCUCCUUGGGUGACGAGUGGCGGACGGGUGAGUAAUGUCUGGGAAACUGCCCGAUGGAGGGGGAUAACUACUGGAAACGGUAGCUAAUACCGCAUAACGUCGCAAGACCAAAGAGGGGGACCUUCGGGCCUCUUGCCAUCGGAUGUGCCCAGAUGGGAUUAGCUAGUAGGUGGGGUAACGGCUCACCUAGGCGACGAUCCCUAGCUGGUCUGAGAGGAUGACCAGCCACACUGGAACUGAGACACGGUCCAGACUCCUACGGGAGGCAGCAGUGGGGAAUAUUGCACAAUGGGCGCAAGCCUGAUGCAGCCAUGCCGCGUGUAUGAAGAAGGCCUUCGGGUUGUAAAGUACUUUCAGCGAGGAGGAAGGGGAUGUGGUUAAUAACCGCAUUCAUUGACGUUACUCGCAGAAGAAGCACCGGCUAACUCCGUGCCAGCAGCCGCGGUAAUACGGAGGGUGCAAGCGUUAAUCGGAAUUACUGGGCGUAAAGCGCACGCAGGCGGUCUGUCAAGUCGGAUGUGAAAUCCCCGGGCUCAACCUGGGAACUGCAUCCGAAACUGGCAGGCUAGAGUCUUGUAGAGGGGGGUAGAAUUCCAGGUGUAGCGGUGAAAUGCGUAGAGAUCUGGAGGAAUACCGGUGGCGAAGGCGGCCCCCUGGACAAAGACUGACGCUCAGGUGCGAAAGCGUGGGGGAGCAAACAGGAUUAGAUACCCUGGUAGUCCACGCCGUAAACGAUGUCGACUUGGAGGUUGUUCCCUUGAGGAGUGGCUUCCGGAGCUAACGCGUUAAGUCGACCGCCUGGGGAGUACGGCCGCAAGGUUAAAACUCAAAUGAAUUGACGG